rnacentral:sRNA from 1 species
GAACAAAUUAAGAAAAGUUAAGCAAGGCCUACUGCCUCGACUGUUUCAGAUUUAUCAUAAAAAAUGACAUAAAUUAGAUUCGAUCAUUACAUCGAAUCGCUUGCCUAAACGGACUUAACAAAGCAGUGCCUCUCCAUCUGCGUGGCAACUACUUGAUGCUCCAACUGUGUGCCACAAGUGAGUGCUGAAACUGCUACAACCGUGUGCCAAAAGGCAAUGAUAAAACCGCUCGAAACUUGCCGCAAGUCAACGCUAAAACUGCUCUCCGAAUUGUGCCACAAGCCAGAGCUAAAAUUUUAAAGUCAGAUAAGCCCCAACAAGCAGCAACCAGCAACCAGCAACCAGCCAUCAGCAACUCACUUACUUAACCUUUCGAAGGAACAGGAGCCCGGAGCCAGGAGCAAUCUCAUGUCAAUCCCUCGAGAAACCUGUGGAGAAAUGUGCCUAUCAUUGCUGCAUGUCAAUGUAUCUGGCGAAAUGUAUCUUUCACGCUCAAUUUAUUUGUAAUGGUGUCGAAAGCAGCCGCAGCAGCAGUCGUAGUCGUAGCACGGAGCUUCCUCUGUGGGGAAAAGCCAGAACAUGGCUAGGACUUAAAGCCAUUUGGAGGUGGAGAUGAGGGAAAAAAUGCGUGGUGGCUAUGGCACAUUAGUGGCACCACCGAACAAAAAUCCCCAAAUCAUAAACCGACGGACGACGGGGCAACUUUUCGCGAACGCAUUUUUCAUGUCGGAAUCAUGUUGGGGUCUAUGGGAAAAUUGUUGUCCCCCGAGAGGGCAGGGACUUACAAAUGAAAUAGCCGCAUGUGUAUCCUCCUAAUGAAAUAAACAUGUUUAUUAGAUACAAAUGCGUAUCAGCAAGGGGGCUCUGCUUUUUGCUUUUUUACGGGGUUU